UAGAUAUUUUAGACUGCUUUGCCGCCAUGAACAACACCUGUCUCAGGGCUGAGGGCCAUAUUUUGCAAACCAUUCUUGCAGUGGAAGAAAACUGACUAGGAUAGAAAACUUGAAUUCCAAUUUCAGCUGUCACUUUUAAGCCUGGAGACCUCAGUUUCUUCGUCUGUAAGACAGGACAGUUAUAUCAGCCUUGUUUCAAUAGAUUACUGUGAUGCUCAAAAGAAUGGUAUACGAAACACUUUGGAAACUAUGGGAAUGCGGGUGCCAUUGGCUGAUGAAUGUCUUGCUCAUGUUUUGCUUUUCUGCCACUGCAAACUUCCCCUCAGAAUAUCUCGUAACUCCUGUUUAGCUUUUUAAUAAUCUCCACUAUGAAUCUUUCCUUAUAAACUCUACUUUCAGAUGGCUUCAGUAUGAUAUAAUUCGGAAAGCACUGGUUCUAGUGUUGGACAAGCAGGGCUUGAGCUCUGACUGAAAGCAAAACAAGACAAUCCAAGAACCAAGAUAAGGUCAGUUUUACAGGUAGAAGUGAAAACCAGGCUUUUAAAAUGACAUUAAAUUUAUUUUCUCCAGGCCAAAUGGAUUCAUUGCACUGAGAGAAAUUUUAGAGGACAUCUCAUUAUUCCGUGACUUUCAAAGAGAGUGGCCCAUGGAAGUCUUCCAGAUUGCCCUUGGGAUGACCUCAACGUACCAAUAUUU